CCUGGCUUGUCCAAGGCAUGUGCACGCCGCUCUACAUUUUUACCACCUGUGCACCUUUUGUAGACUCGGAUAUCUCUCAAACAUGCUGUAGGUAAGAGGCUUGCAGUGGCUCUUUUUUGUCCUGCUUUCCUUACAUGUCCUGAAAUAUGGUCACCCUUCUACGCAUGUCAGGCUGCUUGGGUUCAAAGUCAUUCAAAGAACGCACUCUCCCACUCUCGUGGGCGGAUGUAAAUGGCUUUGAGCAUGGGGAUCUGCAACUUGUUGCUUUCCCUGCUUUUCCGACUCUCACCAGUUGGUCACCUUUUCAACAGCUUGCUUUUGGUCUGGGGGUUGGGACCUCUUUCUUUUUGAAGGAGGUUGGCUGCCCCUGCUUUCCAGUCUAUGUUUUACACACCCCUUUUGUAUGUCACAGAAUGUCAUCAAUGGCUUUGCCUAGCAUAGCUAUAAAUUUAUACAACUUUCAACAAUGGAUCUCUUGGCUCUCGCAUCGAUGAAGAACGCAGCGAAACGCGAUAUGUAAUGUGAAUUGCAGAAUUCAGUGAAUCAUCGAAUCUUUGAACGCACCUUGCGCCCUUUGGUAUUCCAAAGGGCAUGCCUGUUUGAGUGUCAUUAAAUUAUCAACCUUUUCUUUUGUAACGAUCGAUCAGGCUUGGAUGUGGGGGCUGCCGGUCUCUCAGAGAUCGGCUCCCCUUAAAUGCAUUAGUGGAACCCUUUGUGGAUCAUUAUUGGCGUGAUAAUUAUCUAUCCCAGUGAUCGUGAAGCAAGCCUAACAAGCACCAGGGUUUGGCUUAUAACCGUCCCUCUCUGGGACAAAUCUUCAUUUUAAUGUGACCUCAAAUCA
rnacentral:rRNA from 1 species